UCACACCCCACCCCACCCCCCAGCUGUUGUUCCCCAGGAGAGGCUUGGUUGGUGCUUGGAGGAGUGUUCACGCCCCCAGCUCACAGAGCCCGAGAACCAGCACCCAGGUCCGCCUGGCCCAGGGCGCCACUCGCUGGCCCCGGGACGGCCGCAGGCCCACUUAUCACGGGGCGUCCGCUGGGUCCUAGAACCCUUCUCCGCGCUUUGUGUGAAAGCCCCAGCGAUCCUCUGGACCGAGGGCCGAGCUCUCCGUAAAAGCCUGGUAGUGCAAUGGCCAUUGCGGGUUUCGUCAUCCAGGCGGGGCCGCAGGAAAUCUGGCCUGGUAGCGGUGUUGCAGGGCUGGUAGUGGUGGCUGAGGGUGGGAGGAGAUUCGGAUUGACUCGACCUUUAUUUCUUUAAAGGUUUAUCAAUCUGGGACACACGGCUCUGAUGGAAGAGAGAACCAAACUUACAUCAGACACUUGACCCCUUGGCCCGGAGCCAAACCAGAUCAGCCGGGCGAGCCUCCCCCAGGGCAGGCUUGUACAUGACAGAUGACACUUGCCAGAGAAGUCAGGCCAUGCCACCCCCUGGGAGCCUGAAAGACACAAAAUCAAGGCAGUUCCAUCAAGCACUUCGAGAGUGGAGCAGGUGACAAGCCUUUCAAUCACCUUUACUGAGGUGAGGUGAGAAAAAAAGUUAGGGGUAGCUGGCACAUGUUCCUUUUCCCAGGAGAGAAAGUAAGUGUUCACUGAGCCAGCUGGGUAGAGUAAGGGUGGCUUGCUUGACUUCCCAGCCCAAGACGCAGAAGAUGCAGGGUUUCAUGCAUGCUAGGCACACGCUGUGCCACUGAGCUACACUUCCACCCUUUUCCUUCUUUCUGCCCCCACCUGUUUCUUUUUGACAGAAGAAAUACUUCAGAAAUUGGAACCGGAAAGGGCCAGAUUCCAAGCCCUGUACCCCUGCUCCCAUUUUACAGUGUGAGCCAGGAAUGACUUCUCUAUAAGAAGCCAUCCAGGGACCCUUAAGGAUUGACUUGGCACUAACCUGCUGAUGAAGAUCUUGGAGGGCUGAAGACAUUGCUCAAAGUCAGAAAUAUAUACACAACACUCACUUUUGAUUGCACAGGCCCUGCCCUGUGUUGUUGUCAGGAUAUCUGGAG